CCAUAAAGGCGCAUGGUACUGUGCACAGAGACGGCACAAACAGGGUCCUCAUGUCUGCUCGUUUUGAUGUCCUCGUGGCCAUGAUUUUGAGGGUCUGUAUCCGACCUUCAUUG